CUCGAGCGGUAGAGAGAAGCUUGCUUCUCUUGAGAGCGGCGGACGGGUGAGUAAUGCCUAGGAAUCUGCCUGGUAGUGGGGGAUAACGUUCGGAAACGGACGCUAAUACCGCAUACGUCCUACGGGAGAAAGCAGGGGACCUUCGGGCCUUGCGCUAUCAGAUGAGCCUAGGUCGGAUUAGCUAGUUGGUGAGGUAAUGGCUCACCAAGGCGACGAUCCGUAACUGGUCUGAGAGGAUGAUCAGUCACACUGGAACUGAGACACGGUCCAGACUCCUACGGGAGGCAGCAGUGGGGAAUAUUGGACAAUGGGCGAAAGCCUGAUCCAGCCAUGCCGCGUGUGUGAAGAAGGUCUUCGGAUUGUAAAGCACUUUAAGUUGGGAGGAAGGGCAGUUACCUAAUACUGAUUGGUUUUGACGUUACCGACAGAAUAACACCGGCUACUCUGUGCCAACACCCGCGGUAAUACAGAGGUGCAACGUUAAUCGGAUUCUGGGCGUAAACCCCGUAGUGGUUGUUAAUUGGAUGU
rnacentral:rRNA from 1 species